rnacentral:rRNA from 1 species
UACGGGGGGGGCAAGCGUUGUUCGGAAUUACUGGGCGUAAAGGGCUCGUAGGCGGCCAACUAAGUCAGACGUGAAAUCCCUCAGCUUAACUGGGGAACUGCGUCUGAUACUGGAUGGCUAGAGUGUGGGAGAGGGAUGCGGAAUUCCAGGUGUAGCGGUGAAAUGCGUAGAUAUCUGGAGGAACACCGGUGGCGAAGGCGGUGGUCUGGGCCGGAACUGACGCUGAAUAGCGAAAGCGUGGGUAGCGAACAGG